ACACGUCAAGAUCAGGUAUCAAUCUGAAUCCGAUUGGCUUGAUUUUUGACACGGGGAAUGAUCUUAACGACUUCUACAAAUUGAUUGUCUCAGAUCAUCGAAAGAUUAACCACACAGGUAGAAAAUUCCCCCUGAGUGUUCUUUGAAUCUUGUUCUCUUCAGAACGACGUAAUUUCAAUGACUUCUCAUCUUUAACAUGCGAAGUCCAUCAAAACGACGCCGCACCAGUUCAAGGCUCCCGUUGCAGGGAUUGCGUGGUGUAAUUGAUCAAUUGUGAACCCGUGCCUAUUUGUAUCAUCGAAACAGUUCAGGUUGUAGAAAAUGUCGAGAUGAUAAAUCUUGUUUAAGAUAAUAUCAAUCGGACACUGGUUAAAGCAUAAUCGGAGAUGAUUUGUGUGAGAUUAUUUUUAUGAAAAUAGAUAUGGCCAUACCGGAUGAAACCCAUUUUAUCACUGGAUGUUUAAGAGAGAGAGAGAGAGAGAGAGAGAGAGAGAGUUCUGGGGUUGUUCAGCUUAAGAGAGAGAGAGAGAGAGAGUUCUGGGGUUGUUCAGCUUAUGGAUUUUCAUCGCGCUCUACAGCUGAGGAAGUCACCGAAGCCCGGAGGAAUUCACGGGACUGGUCUCGCUGCCAUUGCAACACAGAUUUUCAGAGAUUAUCUCGACUAGAGGGCAUUAUCCCAGCUCUAGAGACAUCUCAUGCUCUCGCAAAUAUGGAGAAGCUCUGUCCAACCCUCGCAAAUGGAACUAAGACGUUCAGACGGCUAUUAAGUAUUUGCAGGUUUAGUCAUUGUGUGAAUAGGAUGUUAUGACCACACAGAUUUUGGUAAUGGUAAUAUUCGUUUCUUUGACGGAUCGGUUUGUUGUAUAAUAAAACCAAUAGUCAUUCUGUUGAAUAUGGAAGUAAUAUAGAUAUUGGGAUACAGGUUAAUUUACCCAUGAUCUUGUAGUAGAGAGUGCAGAAAUGACAUGCUUGUCAAUGGUCUUUGGCCUUUGGGAUACUUGUUAUGUUGUACUGCAGAUGUUUUGAGUUUUCAAGCAAGGAUUAUAUGAUGUUUACUUUUUGAA